CUGUGUUCUCUUUCAGAGUGUCCAUGACUUCACUGUUACAUUUUCAAUGAAUCGUUUGAUAUCUUACUUCUCAAAAACCAGCCCACUAUUCUCAUUCUCACUGUUACUCCAAGAGCAUCCUGAGACCUCAGUGAGCAGAGGCAAAGCUCAGAGAAUUUGACUGCCAAAGUGAAGACAGUAAUAUUCAUGUCUGCAGAGCCUGCCCCCUUUUCUUAUCAGCAUCCACAGAUGGGAAAUUCUGCUGCUGAAGGAAACGUGGGGCAAUUAAGAGGGGCUGGCAAGUUCCGCCUGGGGUUAAAAAUGUCACCAUGCGUACAGUGACCAUAAACUUUAUGAUCAAGCAUGGUCACUACUGAGACUGAAAGAAGGCACUAAUUGGAUGGGCAACUGGGGCUUACAGUGUCCCAUUUAUGCAUGGGGCUGGUGGACCCCCUGCCAUUGUUACAAAUGGAAAAUGGAUCACUACACAGCCAUUAAAGUUGAAUCUAUAAACCACA